CCCAGCUGGAAGCCCUUCGAUUUGACCCAGAAUUUAAAUUUGGCGUUGUCCGUGGAGCUCGACUCGGAGCCGUUGAGGAGCUGGACGAUCCGCUCGUAUUUUUUACGGGUCACCGUCUUGGUCUUCCCUGAGUCCCCUGCUGGAUAUAGGGGAGUUCCCAUCCUCCUCGCGCAGUGGCUGCGGCCGCUCCUCUUUAUUCCACUCUCUGUUGAGGCCCGCGCCUGUCCCAGGGAGCGGCUCUGCCAGGAAGGCGGCCCGACCAGUGCCCGGCGCCUGGUCGGCGUCGGAGCCCACGCUCGCUACUCGUCGUCCUCUCCCAGACGAAAACCCAGAAUGGGAACGCGGAGUGUUUGUGCCCACCGCGCUGCAGCUGGUCCCAGCACUUGCAAAAUGUUCUUGGCAGACACAACAUCUUUGUUGGUAUGUGGUGCUGAAGAUCGAACCCGGGCCGCACGCAUGCCAGGCGAGCGCGCUACCACUUGAGCCACAUCUUCAGCCCUAUUCUUAAUUCUUUAACCCAAUGUUUGGAAUAAACAAUUACUCAAACUUU